rnacentral:snoRNA from 12 species
ACUGGAGGACUAAGAAGGCUGAGUCUGAUGAAGCAAGACUUUGCUGAUACCCUCCUCCUAGAGAAAAGGGUUGAAGAGAGCAGCCGUCAUUGGAGAAUGUCGCAGGGCUGACUGUACCACCCAACAUUG